CCAUAAAAAGUCUGGAGUGUCUAAUAUGUUACUAAUAAGGUUGACAUCCACUCGUAACUGAAACAAAUGACCGCUCAUGCGAACAACCUCUACCCUUGAAAGACCUAAAUGACCGUAUAAAGCAAGCUUUUUUGGAUAGAAUAAUGCAGAGUUCAUUGUGACGUCUGUUCGUAACUCAAACCUAGAAAGUUUGACGGAUUGAGCCAAAGCAUGAGACAUUGCCAGCUUCAUUUUGUUGUCCGCUGACGGGAUAUGAAUCAUAUCAUUAUAUAUCCUCGGCCUUUUUGUAUUCGGCGCGUAAUGAAAAUGUAAAUCUUCAAUUUCACAUUCCUCUUCUGCUAAAGGCUUAACCAUUAAAGAAUUAUCACCACCAAAAGUUAAAUCGGCAAGAAUAUCCUUUUCUUGACUCAAAGAAAAAUUCCAAAAAACCACGACACCAUAAGAGAAGACGAAAACUAAAUGGCGUUAAUAGGAAAUUAGCUAAACAGUUAGGAUUAACUUACUUUCAGAUAUUCGAUACAAUUGAGAUAUUAUAUGAGAAUCAAAAUUUUCGUUAUCCGGUUUGUCAGAGUCCAAAUGCUUUUGAUUGUGAUUAGACGCACUAGAGGGCAUAUCGUCCGGUGCUGGGCCACUAGAAACUCGGCAAGAUUCAGACCUGCCAUACACUAAAGGUAAAUGAUAUACAGCGUAUAGAACCUCAUCAUAUUUCUUUGCGCGGACUUUGUGAUAAUGUUUUAAAAAAUGUUUAACCUUAGGCAACUGGAAAGCUUCACAGACACAAUAUGCUGUAGCACGAGGAAAUCCUAACUCUUCACGUUUGUCACGAGGUAAGUUUUCUAAUUUGAUUAAAUUAUAGGCAUCGCUAGGAGUAAGCAAGUCCUCAUAGUUGCUUUCUUCUUCGUUAAAUGAAUUGACAGCAUGGUUCUCGGGUAGUAGUACAAGUUUCUGAGAUGUUUUAGUAGUUCUUUGAGGAAUAUGAGCAGCAGCAUGUCGGUUUUUUAAGAACCAUCCUAAUGGAUGAUCGAUUUUCCUAGCAUUCCGCCGUCUUUGAAAAAGGCCUUGAGCUGCAGAUAUUCGAUGAUCUCCAAAACGUGGUGGGCUACCAUGCUGAGGCGUUAUUCGUGUACUUUCUGAAUUUAUUGGGGGAGGAAUAUGCACAGGAGUUGAUAAUCGAGUAUUAAUUGUCCGUUUAGGGGGUAAAUUUAGUUUAUCCUUAGUAGACAUCGAAUGUGUACUUCGAGCGUUGGUUUACUGGUCAUGCCAAUAUAAGUCUAUGUCUCUGAUACGCAGUAUAAUACUUUAAUCAAGUAUUAUAUGCAACUAAGUAAAAUUACAAUUAUUUUGAAAGAUAAAAUGGUUGUGCUUAGUAGUGUAUGAGGAAAGUAAACUUGAUUAACUAUGGAGCUUAUUUCAAAUUAUCAGAGAGCAAGUGAAUAAAGUAGGGUAUUAAUUAC